GCUCCUCGGCCCGGACCGCCUCCGGGAGCGCCCACCCCGCCCCGCCGGCCCCAUCACCCCCGCCGCGGCCGCCCCCUCUCCGGGGCCCCUCUUCUCCCUACCUCGCCCCCCUUCCCGCUCCGGUCCUCUUUGUCCCCACUGCCUCGGAGCGCUCCUCUCUCCCCUCCUUUCCUCGGCCGAAGCGGACGCCAGCCCUGCGUCCCGUGUGUCCCACCCUCCUCCUGCGCGACCACAGCUUCCCCGGGCCCCAGCAUCCCCAAGCCGUCUGCUCCCUUCCUGUCGCUUUCCUCCCCAUGACCCCCUUCCUUCUUCAUGGGUGCCUGUCCCCGGGCCCCUCUCCUCGACCCCGCCUUGCCUUUCGAAUGUCCCCUGCGUGGACACACCUAACCCAGACGCCAACCUGCACGAGUGUCUCCCGGUAGCCGGGAGCCGGGACCCCAAGUUCACCUGUAGGAUUUCCCAGAAGGGGUGUUGGGGCCUGACCUUUCACAGAGAAAGAUCUCAAGCUUCUCAGUCAAUGUCUUGGUAUCUCUACUCUGGUGUUCUUAAGGAAAAUGCUAUGGGCUCCUUUGGACAUCUGGUAAAGUCUAUGAACCCUAUAUCAAAAUAAUGCUUGUAAAUUCUUACAAUAAAAUACCUAGUAUUACAAAGUAAAGAAUAUGUUGAAAUACAGUUCCAUCCACCAUCCUUUUGCCACUACAGUUUGUGAUUGUUGUAUUUAUUUUCAUGGUUACUUUCUACUUAUGGAAAGUGCAAUUGGUUUCUGUUUAUAGUCAUGACAUACAAUUUGCAUUUUAAAUACAUUUGUUUAAAUUAAAGAGGGAAGAUGAAUUAAGGAAAUAAGUAAAAGUAGGAAAUAUGACAAAGCUAAAAGUGGUGUGCUGUGAUUGAGUGACGAAUGCAGACUUAACCCAAGAGAUGACUUUAUUAAUGGGAAUUUCAGGCACCCUUUCACAUUGGGGACUGUACUAAACCAGGCUUGACACAAGCCUCACUUGUCCAUCAGUCAAUGUCCAUUGAUUGAGCAGCCCCACCAAGUACCAGACACUGUUCCAGGUGUGAGGGCAGGGCAUUGAGCAAGGCAAUUUAUUCUCAAGGUGUUUACAUUGUAGGGAAAGGAUAUAGACAAGAGGCAGGCCAAAACAUUCAAUUAAAAGGUAACUUCAGAUACUGAUUUUUGUCCUGAAGGGCAAAAGGGUGACUAGCAGGGUGACUAGAGAGGGAGUGACUUGGGGUAGGUGUAGGACAGUAGCAGUGGGGUUUGUGGCUUGGCCCAGGGCUGCAUUAGAAAAAGACCAGGCUCCCACUGCAGCAGUGCCCGGAAAAAUGCAGAGACGAGCCAGGAUUUCUGGAUCAUUACCAUGAGGAAGGGAAUAAAUGUGUGUUCUCUUUCAGUUGCUCCUCUUGACACCUGGGUAAAUGGCUGUUUACACAGGCAGAUCACCCAGCCGCUCCCUCAAAGGUAAACAGCUGCUUUCUGCCUCCCCUGCUAGCACAGAUUGGGGCCCUGAAACAGUGUGUACCCAGGCAAAAGAGGAGGUAUUCUCCAUUUAGGUUUCCAUUCAUUCAUUCAGGCAAGAUUUCUUGAGUGCCUCCUAAAAUGCAGGCACCAAGGUAGGUACUGGGAACACAGUAAGGAACAAUAAAGAGGUCCCUCCUCCCCCACCUCUCUCUCCUCUCCACUUAGAAUCCAAGCUAGAGGUGUGCCUCAGAGUCUCAGGCCACUCCUCUCAUGAUACAGAUGGAAAUAUCAGAAUCAGAAGAGGCAAAGUGACUUGCCCAAGACCCGGAGCUAGCCC
rnacentral:lncRNA from 1 species